rnacentral:rRNA from 1 species
UACGGGGGGGGCAAGCGUUGUUCGGAAUUACUGGGCGUAAAGGGCUCGUAGGUGGCCAACUAAGUCAGACGUGAAAUCCCCAGGCUCAACUUGGGAACUGCGUCUGAUACUGGAUGGCUUGAAUUCGGGAGAGGGAUGCAGAAUUCCAGGUGUAGCGGUGAAAUGCGCAGAUAUCGGGAGGAACACCGGUGGCGAAGGCGGUUCUCUGGGCCUUACCUGACGCUGAGGAGCGAAAGCGUGGGGAGCGAACAGG